UACGUAGGGACCAAGCGUUGUUCGGAUUUACUGGGCGUAAAGGGCGCGUAGGCGGCGUGGUAAGUCACUUGUGAAAUCUCUGAGCUUAACUCAGAACGGCCAAGUGAUACUGCUGUGCUAGAGUGCAGAAGGGGCAAUCGGAAUUCUUGGUGUAGCGGUGAAAUGCGUAGAUAUCAGGAGGAACACCAAUGGCGAAGGCAGCUCGCUGGAACGGUACUGACGCUGAGGCGCGAAAGCGUGGGGAGCGAACAGG
rnacentral:rRNA from 1 species